rnacentral:rRNA from 1 species
GAUGAACGCUGGCGGCGUGCCUAAUACAUGCAAGUCGAACGCUGGAGAUCUAGCUUGCUAGAUCGAAGGAGUGGCGAACGGGUGAGUAAUACAUAAGCAACCUACCCACGAAGACUGGGAUAAUCUCUGGAAACGGGGACUAAUACCGGAUAGGUAAUCGGAAGGCAUCUUCUGGUUAUUAAAGGUUAAAAACACUGGUGGAUGGGCUUAUGGCGCAUUAGUUAGUUGGUGAGGUAACGGCCCACCAAGACGAUGAUGCGUAGCCGGCCUGAGAGGGUGAACGGCCACAUUGGGACUGAGACACGGCCCAGACUCCUACGGGAGGCAGCAGUAGGGAAUUUUCGGCAAUGGGGGCAACCCUGACCGAGCAACGCCGCGUGAGUGAAGACGGCCUUCAGGUUGUAAAGCUCUGUUGUAAGGGAAGAACGGUAGAUAGAGAAUAUCUAAGUGACGGUACCUUACCAGAAAGCCACGGCUAACUACGUG